rnacentral:lncRNA from 1 species
AGGUUUGGUUUUGCCCUAUGAUGCUUUUUUUUCCCAUAAGAAGAAUGAGGGAAGGAAGGAGGGAAGGAAGGUGGGAAGGAAGGCAGGAAGGCAGGCAGGAAAGCGGGAAGGCAGGCAGGCAGGCAGGCAGGCAGGCAGGAAGGAAGGAAGGAAGGAAGGAAGGAAGGAAGGAAGGAAGGAAGGCCCCUAGAGCCACCUACAGAUGCCCAUUACUACUGUUUCCAACAUUUCUUCUGUAAUGACACUGCUCAACACCCCAGAGGAGCAGUGAGGCUCUGGGUACAGACAAAAUUGUUGGUGAAAGGGAGGUGAAAGGAGAGCCAGGUCUUCUUACCUUGAGAUCAGCAGCUGUUGCCAAUGCAAGAGACUCCCCGAAGCUCUCAGUGUUAAGCUGAAUGAAGAGGCCUAUGAUCGCAGAAGACACAGCAGGGACAAGCCAAAAGCCGGGAAAGCUGAGCAGGCUCACUCUGGGUCUGUGCGCCGGGUGUGUGCCUUCCCUUGCCGGCUAAGGCGGUCCCUGUUGUCUCCCCGGUCCUUUUUCCAGCUAUUUCCCAAAAGAGAAGGUUUUGGGCAGACUGCUAUGUGCUCGCUCCCCGGGAUGGAGACCCAAGAAGAAGAGCUCGCUGAGAAGGGCAGCGAAAGGAGAAGCGUCGGGACAGCUCCAGGUGCCGGGCGGGCGCUGCGGCGGGGCUGGCAGCUCCCGGGAUGAGCCGCCUCUGCCCGGAGGAAAGGCAGUCAGUCCCCAGGCAAAGGAGAGAGACGACUCUGUUCCCCGCAGAAGAUGCCAGCGCUCUUCCAGAAGCCUUGUUUUAUUUCGUGCCCGGGAUUUAUCGCUCCUCUGCCAUUCCGUUCGCCCUGUCCGCCCUCACAUCUCAGACAAGCCGGGGAGGCUCUGCGCUGCCGGGGCUGCCCGCUCCGCUCCCGGCCGUGCCCGCUGCAGCGAGGAAAGCCCGAGAGAUGCUGGCUCUCCCCGGCCGCUCGGGGCGGUUGUCCCAGCGCAGGCACUGAGCGGCUCGCUGAGCCCUCCGCAGCAGCGCUCGGGGGGCUGGGCACCCCCAUAACCUCCCGGGCCGGCACUCAGCACCACCCCAAAGCCGAGCGCUAACCGAAGGAGUUUGAGAGAGAAACCACGGAGAGGGAAACGGAGAGAGAGGUUGGGGUAAGGAUGUAUGUGCGUGCGUGUGGGGAAGCCAGAUCACUUGUGAAUGGCUUGAAAAAAAUAAUUGGGGGAGGGCGUGGAGGGGGGGAAGCGGAAACUUUCCUAUAAAACUCAGCAAAAGUCCCUCCUCUCCACGUCAGGCCAAUGACACUGCUGCCCCCAAACUUUCCGCCAGCAGGAGCUAUAAGAACCUCCAAGUCUUCAACUUUCUCCCAAUCCCAGACACCUCGAAGGGGCUCCAAGGAGGGAGAGGGAGGGAUUUUUUUUUUGGUUGGCCUUUUUAUUUUUUUGCUCUUGGAUCCUGAUGCCAUCCCCCCUCCCCCCAAAGUGAGGUCCUCCCUCCUUCCUUCCCUCCUCCUUCUCCUCGCAGGCCAGCGAAGCAGCCGAUCAAGGGGGAGCUGGCGGGGUAGGUGCCCCCCUCUUGUUC